AUGAUGGGUCGGAACAGCGCCAUCGCCGCCGGUGUAUGCGGAGCCCUUCUUAUUGGGUACUGCAUCUACUUCGACCGCAAAAGACGAAGUGACCCCAACUUCAAGAACAGGCUUUGAGAACGAAGAAAGAAACAGAAGCUUGCCAAGGAGAGAGCUGGGCUUUCCAAGUUACCUGACUUUAAAGAUGCUUUAAAGUUACCUGACUUUAAAGAAGUUCUUCCUUGAAGAAAUACAGCUUGGUGAAGAGUUACUAGUUCAAGGUGAAUAUGAGAAGGGCGUAGACCAUAUCACAAAUGCAAUUGUUGUAUGUGGACAGCCACAGCAGUUACCGCAGGUCUUACAGCAAACUCUUCCACCACCAGUGUUCCAGAUGCUUCUGACUAAGCUCCCAACAAUUAGUCAGAGAAUUGUAAGUGCUCAGAGCUUGGCUGAAGAUGAUGUGGAAUGAGAAACAAAUGUCAACAUAAUAAAAUCUCAGUUAAAAAUA